UGUGGGGGCGGGCUUGCUCGCGAUUGUGGUGUCAGAUUAGAUGUAUUUAACUGAUCCACCGCCAUCGCGGGCAAGCCCGCUCCCACA
rnacentral:misc_RNA from 1 species